rnacentral:rRNA from 1 species
UACAGAGGGGGCAAGCGUUGUUCGGAAUUACUGGGCGUAAAGGGCGCGUAGGCGGCCUUCUAAGUCGAACGUGAAAUCCCCGGGCUCAACCCGGGAACUGCGUCCGAUACUGGAAGGCUUGAAUCCGGGAGAGGGAUGCGGAAUUCCAGGUGUAGCGGUGAAAUGCGUAGAUAUCCGGAGGAACACCGGUGGCGAAGGCGGCUUCCUGGACCGACACUGACGCUGAGGCGCGAAAGCUAGGGGAGCGAACGGG